UACGUAGGGAGCAAGCGUUGUCCGGAAUACUGGGCGUAAAGCGUGCGCAGGCGGUUAUGUAAGACAGGUGUGAAAUCCCCGGGCUUAACCUGGGAACUGCAUUUGUGACUGCAUAGCUAGAGUACGGUAGAGGGGGAUGGAAUUCCGCGUGUAGCAGUGAAAUGCGUAGAUAUGCGGAGGAACACCGAUGGCGAAGGCAAUCCCCUGGACCUGUACUGACGCUCAUGCACGAAAGCGUGGGGGAGCAAACAGG
rnacentral:rRNA from 1 species